rnacentral:misc_RNA from 1 species
GUCUCAAAUGGGACUGUAGUAUGAUAGAAGAUAGUGGCUCAAAAUGAUGUCUCAAAUUAGAGAUUAGAUCACGAUGGAUGUAGAGUUUUGGAGUAGUGAUAAUGGUUGUGCCUUUCUCUUGUAAUUUGUGGGUACAACUUCACCUUUCAUGCCAUCUUCGCAAUACCCUUUAUCUCGCUAUUCAUCACAAUCUGUUGGCUUUAUUCCUGCUAGCGAAAUGCGAUCAUUCCUUUUUUUAUGGUCCUGCACUUGCCUGCGAGCUUCCUCCAAGUCCUGAGGGUCGAGUUUUGCAUUCCAGUUGAUUUGAUCAAUGUACAUAUCAGUACUUAGUAGAGAGAAUAAUUUGCAUAAAAGGCCAUUCUUUGUCCAGAACCGAUUCUUGGCCUGUUGAAAGGACUUCUUACCUGCUGAAUCGUCCCAUGCGUGUUGGUUUGCUGCCAAGAAAUUUUGUCUCUUCAUUCCUCUCACAUUACUGUUCCGACCUCAUUGAUGAUAUUGCAUUGUUGGCAUUGUUUCUCAGAAAAAGAACUAUUGAGAGAAUUAACUAAUGGCUACUCUCUUAAGUUUACCUGAGAGAAAACGAAGCCCCAUUUAUAAGUGAAGGAUUGGUGUAAUUUGUGUUGAAAUAGAUAACUCUUUCCUGUUAGGAUUUGGAUUACCGUCCUAUCUCUCUUUGCUUCAAAUCUCUCUCUCUCAAUUAUUAAAACCAAACCCCACGCCUUUAUUUAUUACGCCCGUUCAUCCCAAUCAUUGUCUCAAUAACAGCCGUUUAAUCGCCACUUUCUUACCCCUCUUUUCUGAUUUCAUGACUCCCACAUUGACAUGUCACCGGCGUUGCUAGACACCGGGGCUCUGAUUCAAAACCCUAAUAUUAACGGUCAGAUUUCUCAUCCUCUUUUUAUUGCCUCUUGUUUUUAUUUGGAUUCUCUAUCGGCACAACAACCACCAUUGCUAAGCUUCUCGAACGCCAUGAACCCAUUAAAUUUUGGUGAUUUAAAUUACGGGUUUUCAAAUUCAAGCGGAAAUGCCCAGAAUUUGAACUUUAGCUCGCCUUCUAUUCCACGAUCAUCGGGGAAGCCUCUUUCGAAGCCGAGAUUCGUGAAAGCGAGAAAGGAAUCCAAUUCCCAGAAUUUGAAAUUCCCAGCUGACACCUGUGCGGGGCCCGGUUUUAAUCCGUUCGGACCUGUUUCGGGCUCUGCUGAGCAGGAUGUUUCAAAGUCCACUGCAUUUGGGUUUGGUAGCGGUGGGAAUGAGUCGUUUGUUUUUGGAACCAGUAAAAGUAUUUUGGGUGGGAAUUCAGAUUCAGGGAAGUGGAAUGUGGAGAAAAAAGUCAUUGAACAAAUGAAAAAUGUGAGAAUUGGGAGCGGAAUUGUGUUCCUGAAUAAUAACUUAAAUGCAAGCGAUAGAAGUGAUUUUGUGUUCGGGAGCGAUCACAAUAAGAGUUCCAUUAUUAAUGAUGGCACGAAGAAGUUGACCAUUGAUGAUAACGAGAUUGAGAAGCUUGCUGAUGAAAGGUCCAAAUUAACGGCAAAUGAUAUUGCCAAAUUUGGGCUCAGGAGUGGUGACAAUGUGACUGCUUCCAUUGGGAAAAAUGUGGAAUCAAAGGUACCAGAUGAGUUGAAGAAGAAAUUAAAUAUCGAAGAGACAAAGGAUUUCAAUAGGGGUAGCGGUAUUUCCAGUGUCGAUGAUGUGAAAAUGUCUGGUUUCAGAAGUGGUGCCAAAAGCUUGGAGAAUGUACUUCCUGAUGAGAUUAAGAAUUUGAACAUCAAGGAUUCUUCGGAUGCUAAUGACAUUGAUAGUAAGACCUAUGAGAAGGAUAGUUUUGCAUCUGGAAGCCGGAAAGGAACUAGGAGUCAAUCGGGUAGAGAAACAGAAAACAUACAGUUGAGCGAGAUGGAGAGCAAGUUGAACAUUGCAAGUGCAAUCGGAGAAUCUUCUGAUCAAACGGACAUGGGAUUUUCUUCUUCUCGAAUCUUUGCCAAGCAAAUGCAAACUGGAAAUGGGGGUGUUAAGAAGUUCCAUGAUUUUGGUAAUUCUGCUCCGAUGAAGUUUACUUUCAAGGGAGGGGUGCAGGGUGAGGAGGCAAGUAGUAGUCAAGUUCCUAUUGACCAACCCAAAGUUGAGACACAGCCAAGUGGACUUGCAGGACCAUCAUCUGCUUUCUCAUCCAGUGGCUUAGCUGGUGGGUAUGCUUUUGGAUUGCCACCAACAGGUAGAGCGGAGAAAAGAGAUGGGUUUAUUUUUACAAGCAAGCAAGAUGGUGUUGGAUCACGCUUUCUUGAAUUUAAAACACCGAAUCCCAAGGGAAAUCUAUUCUCUGGUUUAAAUCGGAAAGUAGAAAUCAGUGCGAAGUUUAAAGACUCAAAAGUAAAGAAAAAAAAAGGAAAGUUGAAGCAACCAGCCAAAGUCCAUCUAUGGACUGGGCAAGAUUUUGUUUCAAGGGAAAGUGGUUGUCGUGAAAUCCCUGAGGCUUCUGAAUCUUAUUCACCCAUGGAUGUUUCGCCAUAUCAGGAAACAUUAUCUGAUACUCAAAUUUCAAGGGAAACUUCUGUGGCAUCUGAGGAAUCUUUCAGUCUUGAUAACCAAUAUCCAUCAACUGGUUCACAAGCAUCUGCUUUGAACGAUGCCAUAGAUGAAGUUUUGGUUGUUGCAACACAACAAAUGGAUAUAAAUGAAGACGAUGUGCAAUUCAGAGCAUCGAAAAGCGAAGGUUCUGGUUAUUGUUCUGAUAAAGGUAUUGGUGCUGAAAAUCCUCCAGAAGAUUCCAUAUCAUGGGCUGAAACAGAAAGCUUUAAAUCUGCAAAUGAGGAAGUAGACUUUAUCAAUGAUGUUGUGGUUACUUCAGCAGAAAAUGGAGCCAGUUCUAGUACAAAUAUUGAGAAGCGAGAUAGUGAUGUCAGGGUUCAAUUUGGUUCUCCUGCAAGUUCUGAGGAUUUUAUUGGUUCUGGUUUUACCUUUGCUGCUUCUGCUGCUGCUCAACCAUCAUCAAAACGUCAGCAUAGAAAGAAGAAUAGUGUUAAAGUUGGUCACGAUUCUUAUAAUUGCAGCCCAAAUGCAAAAGUUUCAUAUCCAUCAUUAUCUUCAGAGUUUACUCCAUUCUCUGGUGCUUCAUUGCCUUUGUCGCCUACUCUGGGCAAGAAAGUAAGCAUAUCCACUCCGUUCCACAUGAUUGGAGAAAACUCUGAGGGGCUUGGACGACAGGAGGUGAAGCAGGAAUUUGAUUUGAUUUCUGCUGCAUCUGUUGCAGCUCAGGAAGCAUGUGAAAUGUGGCGAUUAAGGGGAAACCAAGGAUAUACAUGUGGAGAUUUGUCUAAAGCAGAGGAUUGUUACACACGAGGGAUAAAUUGUGUUUCUAAAAGUGAGACAUCUAGAAGCUGUCUCAGGGCAUUGAUGUUGUGCUAUAGCAACCGUGCAGCAACACGAAUGUCUCUUGGAAGAAUGAGGGAUGCACUUAGAGAUUGUAAAAUGGCUGCUGAAAUUGAUCCCAAUUUUCUCAGGGUGCAAGUUAGAGCUGCAAAUUGUUACCUGGCCCUGGGGGAAGUUGAAAAUGCAUCAGAGUGUUUCAAGAAGUGCUUGCCGUCAGGAAGUGACAUCUGUGUGGACCGAAAAAAUGCAGUUGAGGCCUCUGAGGGACUACAAAAGGCACAGAAAGUGUCUGAAUGCUUGCAACAGUCUGCUGAACUUUUGCAAAGGAAAACUUCCUAUGAUGCAGGAUGUGCUUUGGAACUUAUUUUGGAGGCCUCAACUAUAAGCCCAUUCUCAGAAAAAUUACUUGAAAUGAAAGCAAAGUCCCUUUUCCUGCUGCGAAAGUAUGAUGAAGUAAUUCAGCUAUGUGAGCAGACUUUUGAUUCUGCUGAGCAGAAUUCUCCUCUAAUAGAUGCUGAUUGCCAGUCAGCAGAUCUGGAUAGUAGUGAACAUAUGAAGAACUCCUUUUCUCUCUGGCGAAGCCACCUGAUUUUCAAAUCCUACUUCUAUCUUGGAAAGCUGGAAGAGGCUAUUGGUUCACUAGAAAAGCAAGAGGAACUGAUUGCAAAAAGGGUAAAUCAUACUCCAUACUCAUAUGGAAUAACUUUGAUUUUAAUUUUUCCAGUUUGAUACUUGUACUGUUCCUUCAGUGGUUUGUCCAGGAAUUAUAGCAAGAUGACGGAAUCAUUAACACCCUUAGCUGUCACUGUACGGAUUAGAUGGGGUAUCCUUUGAAGGAAGAGUGGAACACAAUCCUGUUUUACCGCAGGCUGCAGUAAAUGAAGCAUUUCAAGCAGGAAAGCAUUCAGAAGCCAUUGAGCAUUAUACUGCAAUUCCAGAAGAAAGCAAAAGAGAAAUGGAAAAGAUGAACCAAGCAUUCUCACGAGAUUGUAGGGGAAGCUCUUCUUGGGUCACGUGCCAACACCUUCAAUGUUUGAGGUAUCCCUGAGGAUAGUGACAAUGGCAAGGAGUUUCUUAGGAACGGUAGCAACGAGAAAAAGUUAUCAAUUGAUGAGAGAUGUUGAUUAUUGUUUAGAAGGGCUCUAGGUUAUGCCCUAUUGGUAGUGUAGAAUAUGGAUCUGAACAAGGCGAAUUCGGCCAAGGACAUCAUAGCUGCAUGAAAACUGUUCUACGCUAAAUAGUUGUAACCGCCACCCAUAAGAAUCCUUCAAUAGCUCCUCUGUCGAAGCAAUGGAUUCUAUAAGGACUGUUGUUGCAGAAGUUGAACAUCCGGUGUAUUGGAAAGAUUGGUUAAACAGAAUGUUAUUUCCCUUCUUUACCAUUCCAAUUUCUUCAUUUGAAGCUAAGCUUGCUCGCGGUGGUGGUAACAACUUUGGUUUUGUUAAUUGCGGGGAGAAGGUAUAUGAUGUUGGUGGUGGUGUUGAUGAUGAUGAUGAUGAUGUUAGAGUACUUAACUUCAAACCCCAAUCCAACAUUUCUAAGGUAGGAAGAAAUAGCUUUAAAGAUUCGGUGACCGAAUGCGGACAAUCUUCUAAAGCCAAAAGCGACCCUGAAUUCGUCUGUGAGAUAUGCGUUGAACCCAAGACUGGAGAUGAGUCAUUUGACAUCAAGGGUUGCACUCAUGCUUACUGUAGGGACUGCAUGGCCAAAUACUUAGACUCAAAAUUGCAAGACAAUAUAGCUAAAAUUUCUUGUCCUGUAUCAGGUUGUGCAGGCUCAUUAGAGCCUGAGUAUUGCCGUUCAAUCCUUCCUCAGGAAGUUUUUGAUAGGUGGGGCAAUGCUUUGUGUGAAGCUCUGAUUAUGGGGUGUCAGAAAUUCUAUUGUCCCUUCAAGGAUUGCUCAGCAAUGUUGAUUGAUGAUGGAGGAGAGGUCAUAAGGGAAUCUGAGUGUCCUAAUUGCAGGAGAAUGUUCUGUGCACAAUGCAAGGUCCCUUGGCAUUCAGGGAUUCAGUGCCAAGAGUUCCAGAAAUUGCAUGAGGAUGAGAGAGAGAAGGAGGAUAUCAUGUUGAUGAAGCUAGCAGAGAAUAAGCAUUGGAGGAGGUGCCCAAAUUGCAGGAUAUAUGUUGAGAGAACACAAGGUUGCAGGUAUAUGAAAUGCAGGUGUGGCGCUGCUUUCUGUUACAGCUGUGGAACUGCUAAAACAAAUACCAGCUCCCAUUACUGUAAUUACUGCAAGGGUUGACUCUUCUACAUGAUUUGGGUUUUGUUAGAGGGAAAAUGAAAUAUGGCAAUCUAAGUUAACUCCAUUAAAUCUUUUUAACCAUAGCAUGUACUAAAGAUAAGCUGCUGAAAUGGAGAAAUUUGUCAAUUGGUCAAAAUUACGAGAAGGUUGUGAAUGUGGGCAUUGAGUUGAAUCUGAGUUUGAUUAAAUGAACUGAAUUUAAGUUUAUCAAUACUUGCC